rnacentral:rRNA from 1 species
CAGUAGCCGCGGUAAUACGUAGGGUGCAAGCGUUAAUCGGAAUUACUGGGCGUAAAGCGUGCGCAGGCGGUUUGUUAAGACAGAUGUGAAAUCCCCGGGCUUAACCUGGGAACUGCAUUUGUGACUGGCAAGCUAGAGUAUGGCAGAGGGGGGUGGAACUCCGCGUGUAGCAGUGAAAUGCGUAGAUAUGCGGAGGAACACCGAUGGCGAAGGCAGCCCCCUGGGCCAAUACUGACGCUCAUGCACGAAAGCGUGGGGAGCAAACAGGAUUAGAUACCCCAGUAGUCCCUGUCUCUUAUAU